AAGAAUAUGGAGCACGUACUCAAGGAGGAAAAAACAUUUUUUUCAGAGGCCCAAAGUGAUAUGCAAUUUGGUCUAGAUGCCGAUAUUUAUAUGGCCAAAACGCACAGAGCCACAGCAUGGAAAAAGAUUUUAACAGUGGAAUCACGACUGCGGACGGCCACCCAUGUCUUACUUCACGCCCUUUGGCCCUGAUCCUGCGAGAUGAGUUUUCCUCACUUGUAAUGGCAGACAGUGAAAUGCAGCAUAGUUUCGGGUGAAACAGUUUCUUCUCACUGAUCCCGGUCUGCAGUGUAUCCUACAAACUGUAUAUUAGAGGCAAGGACAAGGAAAGUAUAUUAUGCUCGUUACUCAGGCCAUUUCCACUAUUUUUUAGUACAUACGAGUUGUCUUGAGCAUUUAUUACUCUGUUAAGAACAGUUAACUUUGUGUGCAUGAUGCAGUACAGCAAUAAAGAGAAUAUGUUAAAAGU
ensembl:lncRNA